GUAACGGCGAGUGAAAGCGGCAACAGCUCAAAUUUGAAAUCUGGCUCUCGGGCCCGAGUUGUAAUUUGUAGAGGAUGCUUUUGGUGAGGUGCCUUCCGAGUUCCCUGGAACGGGACGCCAUAGAGGGUGAGAGCCCCGUCUGGUUGGACGCCGAACCUCUGUAAAGCUCCUUCGACGAGUCGAGUAGUUUGGGAAUGCUGCUCUAAAUGGGAGGUAUAUGUCUUCUAAAGCUAAAUACCGGCCAGAGACCGAUAGCGCACAAGUAGAGUGAUCGAAAGAUGAAAAGAACUUUGAAAAGAGAGUUAAACAGUACGUGAAAUUGUUGAAAGGGAAGCGCUUGUGACCAGACUUGGGCUUGGUUGAUCAUCCGGGGUUCUCCCCGGUGCACUCUUCCGGCCCAGGCCAGCAUCAGUUCGCCCUGGGGGACAAAGGCUUCGGGAACGUGGCUCUCUCCGGGGAGUGUUAUAGCCCGUUGCGUAAUACCCUGUGGCGGACUGAGGUUCGCGCAUUCGCAAGGAUGCUGGCGUAAUGGUCAUCAGUGACCCGUCUUGAAACACGGACCAAGGAGUCGUCUUCGUAUGCGAGUGUUCGGGUGUCAAACCCCUACGCGAAAUGAAAGUGAACGCAGGUGAGAGCUUCGGCGCAUCAUCGACCGAUCCUGAUGUUAUCGGAUGGAUUUGAGUAAGAGCAUACGGGGCCGGACCCGAAAGAAGGUGAACUAUGCCUGUGUAGGGUGAAGCCAGAGGAAACUCUGGUGGAGGCUCGCAGCGGUUCUGACGUGCAAAUCGAUCGUCAAACAUGGGCAUG
rnacentral:rRNA from 1 species